AAAAGGCCUAUUUUAUAUUUAUCCUACCCCCUUUUUUCGUUAGCGGUUCAAAAUUCCUUUAUCUUUACUCAUUCUUUUUUUUUAAACGUAUUGAGAGUAAAUAACUUUCUUUUAUCACAUGUGAUAUAGAAUACACAUACAAAUAAAGCAAGGAAUUCUUAUGUGAAUGAUUCACAAUCAAUAGCCUUCUUUUUUUUUGAAGAUUCAAGAAAUUACAUUUACAUACAGGACUUUUAGAAAAUUUUCUAAUUCCGCGUUGUACCUUUAAUUGACAUAGACCCCAGUCAUCUAAUAAAAUGGGGAUGGAAUGUUCCAUUGGAAAUGGUCGGGAUAGCUCAGCUGG
rnacentral:tRNA from 1 species